CUCGUACUCCAUCCGUUCUGAAUUACUUGUCUUAGAUUUGUCUAGAUACGGAUGUAUCUAGCACUAAAAUGAAUUUAGAUACGGAUGUAUCUAGAUAAAUCCAAGACAAGUAAUUCGGAACGGAGGGACUGGUUA
rfam:Triticum aestivum genome assembly, contig: Triticum_aestivum_CS42_TGACv1_scaffold_362332_4DS